AUUGAACGCUGGCGGCAUGCCUUACACAUGCAAGUCGAACGGCAGCACGGGAGCAAUCCUGGUGGCGAGUGGCGAACGGGUGAGUAAAGUAUCGGAACGUGCCCAGUCGUGGGGGAUAACGUAGCGAAAGUUACGCUAAUACCGCAUACGAUCUAUGGAUGAAAGCGGGGGAUCGCAAGACCUCGCGCGAUUGGAGCGGCCGAUAUCAGAUUAGGUAGUUGGUGGGGGAAAGGCUCACCAAGCCGACGAUCUGUAGCUGGUCUGAGAGGACGACCAGCCACACUGGGACUGAGACACGGCCCAGACUCCUACGGGAGGCAGCAGUGGGGAAUUUUGGACAAUGGGCGAAAGCCUGACCCAGCCAUGCCGCGUGCAGGAUGAAGGCCUUCGGGUUGUAAACUGCUUUUGUACGGAACGAAAAGGUUUGGCCUAAUAAGCUGAGCUCAUGACGGUACCGUAAGAAUAAGCACCGGCUAACUACGUGCCAGCCGCCGCGGUAA
rnacentral:rRNA from 1 species